GAGUCUCGGGUCUCUGCUGCGCUUACACUGAUCACAUCCCUGGGCUCCUGCUACAUGGUGAACUCUUAACCCGGGGCCCAGGUUUCCUCUCCCGUGCGCUGAGCUGAGCAGGUUGGCCUUCUCUCCCGAAAGAAGAGCAAGGGGAGGGAGAGAAACACUGGAGCGGCGCACGGAGAUGGCGAGAGAGCACGUCUCAGCUAAGAGACCUGAGAUCGGUUUUAGGACUCCGGUGACAAACAAGUGCAGUUGCACUGCGUGACCCAGACGCAACGUGGAAGCAGUACUCUCCAGGAAAGCCAAGCAACGGGGCCCCGCUGCUCUCCCCCGCUGGCCCGAGCCCGCUCGCAGGGCUCACGCGGGCCUCUCCCGGAGCCCGGAGCGCUUGCGGGCCAGAGGGGGCGGGGGCCGAGCGGCGCGCUCGGAGCCUAGGUCUCGACGGAGCUGCGGGCUGCGGGGAAGCGGGCGGGAGCGGAGGCCUGUCUGGAAGUCUCCCUGGAGCCCUGGCCGGACGGCGCCGGCCGACAGCGUCCCCAAGCCCGCGGGAUCGCGAUCCGCCCCUGCACCCCGGGAGCGCGGUCACGGCCGCCCGGCCCCGGAAACUGCGCACGACGCCCCCGGGCGCUUACGGUCGUCUGCUCCUGGCUCCCGGGCUCGGCGGCAGCAGAGUCUGAGAAGCAUUAGUCUGGGUGAAAGUACGACCCAUUCAAAGUGGUCUUCAUCGCACUCGUAGAGAACGGACGUGAGGGCACGGAUGGGGCGAAGGAUGCAGUUUCAACACCCGGCGUCCUCAAGAUCACAGCCAGCAGACCAGAACCAGGGCCUGUUACAGGGAUAUUAAACUUCUUACUGUCACCCUGUAUACAACUUCAGGAUAAAGUUCACCCCCUUGGCCUCCAAACUUACUGCUCACCCUGGCCCAAGAACUCUCCAUUUCAGUGAAGAGAGGCUGUUCCUGGCUAACAAACACACUCAAUUCAAUCACAUCUCCAACCUUUGCUCGUGCAGCAUGCCUGGAAAGGAUGCUCUCCUGCAUCCAAACAUGAAAUUCUACUGUUCUUUAAUUCCACACCCUCCUACAAAAGCCUUCUCUCAUCCCUGCAGUGUCUGGCAUCUCUGUGCUCCUUGAAAACGUGCAGCCUGUGAGAUCCCUCCAUCCCUCCCCCACAUCUUUCAGACAGAAGCUGCUCUGCCUCUGGCCAUUUUACCAAGGGACUCAAAUUUGUUACUCUUCAAACUGCAGUGCUGAUGAAAACAUUCUAAAAUUAGAUAUUGGUGAUGGUGUAUCACCAUAACUCUGGUAAUAUACUAAAAACUACUGAAUUGUACACUUUAGUUUUUUAUAUAAAUUUAAAAAUUUAUUUUUGGCUGCGUUGGGUCUUUGUUGCUGCGCACGGGCUUUCUCUAGUUGCGGAAGGCGGGGGCUACUCUUCCUUGCGGGGCGCGGGCUUCUCAUUGCGGUGGCUUCUCUUGUUGCGGAGCACCGGCUCAAGGUGGGCAGACUUCAGUAGUUGUGGCUCGCAGGCUCAUGGGCUUAGUUGCUCCGUGGCAUGUGGGAUCUUCCCGAGCUCGAACCCGUGUCCCCUUCAUUGGCAGGCAGAUUCUUAAGCACAGCGCCACCGGGGAAGCCCUGAACUGUUCACUUUAAAAGGAUGAAUUUUAUGGUAUGUG